GACGAACGCUGGCGGCGUGCCUAAUACAUGCAAGUCGAACGAGAGCAACCGGUGCUUGCACUGGGCAAUCUAGUGGCGAACGGGUGAGUAACACGUGGGUAACCUGCCCAUCAGAGGGGGAUAACAUCCGGAAACGGAUGCUAAAACCGCAUAGGUCUUCGAACCGCAUGGUUUGAAGAGGAAAAGAGGCGCAAGCUUCUGCUGAUGGAUGGACCCGCGGUGCAUUAGCUAGUUGGUGAGGUAACGGCUCACCAAGGCCGUGAUGCAUAGCCGACCUGAGAGGGUGAUCGGCCACAUUGGGACUGAGACACGGCCCAAACUCCUACGGGAGGCAGCAGUAGGGAAUCUUCCGCAAUGGACGCAAGUCUGACGGAGCAACGCCGCGUGAGUGAAGAAGGUUUUCGGAUCGUAAAACUCUGUUGUUAGAGAAGAACAAGUGCUAGAGUAACUGUUAGCGCCUUGACGGUAUCUAACCAGAAAGCCACGGCUAACUACGUG
rnacentral:rRNA from 1 species